rnacentral:lncRNA from 1 species
GUCAGCUAUAAAAGGGAGGAGACUCCUUCUGUUUCAGCAGAGAGAGAGAAAGAGAGAGAGAGAGAGCGCACAAGUGAGGGGGAGCAGAGAGAGAAGCAGACUCCCCACUGAGCAAGGCACCUUGACGUGGGGCUGGGAUCAUGACCUGAACUGAAGGCAGACACUUAUCUAACGGAGCCUCCUAGGCAUCCCUCAUCUGUGGCAUUUUUAAUCAGAAGAAACCCCAAAACUCAUGCUGUUUGGAAAUUUUUAACUUAGGGCUCAAAACCUCCUG